rnacentral:tRNA from 1 species
UCCCUGAAGGCUUAGCAGGUUAAGAAUCUGCCUGCAGUGCAGAAGACCCAGGUUCAAUCCCUGGGCUGAGAA